CCUACGGGUGGCAGCAGUGGGGAAUAUUGCACAAUGGGGGAAACCCUGAUGCAGCGACGCCGCGUGAGUGAAGAAGUAAUUCGUUAUGUAAAGCUCUAUCAGCAGGGAAGAAAAUGACGGUACCUGAGUAAGAAGCCCCGGCUAACUACGUGCCAGCAGCCGCGGUAAUACGUAGGGGGCAAGCGUUAUCCGGAUGUACUGGGUGUAAAGGGAGCGUAGGUGGGCGUGAAGGUGUGGAGUGAAAGGCGGGGGCUCAACCCCCGGACUGGUCUGGAAACUGUCAGGCUGGAGUGCAGGAGAGGUAAGUGGAAGGCGUGGUGUAGCGGUGAAAUGCGUAGAUAUUAGGAGGAACGCCAGUGGCGAAGGCGGCUUACUGGACUGUAACUGACGUUGAGGCUCGAAAGCGUGGGGAGCAAACAGGAUUAGAUACCCCUGUAGUC
rnacentral:rRNA from 1 species